GAUGAAGAACGUAGUGAAAUGCGAUACGUAAUGUGAAUUGCAAAUUCAGUGAAUCAUCGAGUCUUUGAACGCACAUUGCGCCCCCUGGUAUUCCGGGGGGCAUGCCUGUCCGAGCGUCAUUGCUGCCCUCAAGCACGGCUUGUGUGUUGGACCCCGUCCUCCGAUCCCGGGGGACGGGCCCGAAAGGCAGCGGCGGCACCGCGUCCGGUCCUCGAGCGUAUGGGGCUUUGUCACCCGCUCUGUAGGCCCGGCCGGCGCUUGCCGAUCAACCCAAAUUUUUAUCCAGGUUGACCUCGGAUCAGGUAGGGAUACCCGCUGAACUUAAGCAUAUCAAUAAGCGGAGA
rnacentral:misc_RNA from 1 species